rnacentral:lncRNA from 1 species
CUGGCUCUCAGUGCAGUGGAUGCACUCAGGAAAGACAGAUGAUGAACCAGAUAUAUUCAGAAUCACACUGGCCAGAUCUAUCAACUGGAAAUUGCUUUGGUUCAAUUCAGUGCUCUGUUCCUGAAAUUUUUGAGAUGAAGAAUUUGGCAAGACUACCAUCCACUAAACAGUUGUCAGCAAAACCAGGGCUGUGAAAUGCUCCUUUUCAGUUGUUAUCCAGGUUAUCCCUAGCCACCAAGACCUGCCAUCUGUCUUCCUCCUGAUGCAAGGAGGGUGGAAGAAUCUUGGGUGGUCCUGUCUGGAGGCCAUGUGUCACUUUCAACUAAGGAUAUUCUGUGACUCAAUGAUAAGACAAUGUCACUGUAAAUAUGUCUUUAUGCUGAUAUUUUUACUUAAUAUUCAGUCCAAACAAAGGUUUCUCACCUUUAAUUUUCUAUCCACCCAACCAAUGUUAGAAAUUCAUAAUAUCAUUCAGGUACUUCAUAAAUGAAGUUAGAUAAUUUAAAUUUAAAAGCUCUUCAAUAUCUGUGACUGUUUAUUUCUACUUAUUUCUCUUCCUAAGUCAAGAAAUUCUGUUUCAAAAAUUUAGAUUUUGUAGUGAAAAUACAAGCAGGACACUGUUUAAUGUAUUCCCUGGUCUUCUAACAACAUUUAGAUAACUUACAGCAUAGAAUAAUGGUGUUCUAAGGCAGUAAUGCUAUUAAGGGACUUAGAUAUUGCUCUCAUGAAACCCAUGUGUCUUGUUUGUUUUACUUUUCUUGUAUUUUGUUCCUGGGAAGAGAGAAGAAUUGUGAUGGUAGCAACAGUCACCGUACAAAAAAUGCCUGUAAGGGAACACUUGUUCAGUAGAGAAGCACGUUGCAGUCUUUUUAAUUAAAUGAAAGAUACAGGCUAAAAUAAUAAGAAUAAUGAAUAAUAAAAGAAAAAUAAAGCAACAUAGGUAUAAGUUAGAUAUUUUCCUAAUUAGAAAUGAACAGAACAGAAAUAUAUAUAUUCUAUGCAAAAUACUCCUUUUCAGCUCUUAGUGUUCUCUUUGCCCUCUGAUUAGUUAUAAAUGCUGGGUCAGGGCUGUACACAGUUUAACAGUUUAACAUAACUAUAUUUUUUUAAAAUGGUUGAAAGGCUCUGUUUAUAUUUGUAUGGACCAUUCUGUUUGUGCAACUGCAACCAAAUCUGAGCUUCCAUUUCUUUCCUAACAGUUCUUUCACUUAGUUACAUUUCCCUUGAAUAUAAUUUCAAAGGCUGACACAAAGAAAAAACUGACAGCAUCAUCCCCCUGCAAGGAAGGUUUUGAUUGAUUCUAGUCUUCUCUACAAGUCUUUGAUUUUUAUGACUCUAUGAACCUUCAGAACAGACUAAAAAGGAAGAUAAUAAUUUAAGAAAUUCUAUGUAUACAUAUGUAUUUUAACAUAUUGUAAAAUGUAUUGUUAAAAUGUAUUUAUUCAAUUGUGUUUACUUUUCCCAAGUUGUUUUGUUUCAUUUUUUCUGCCAGUAUUUUUUUUUUUUUUUUUGGUAAUAUAUGCUUUUAUCAUCAAGGUAGCAUAAGAAAAAAUAUUGAAUAUAAAAUAACAUGUAACUCUAAUGCAGGAUCAUACUUGGGGAGAGAGAAAAAUAAUUUUAUCUGAUUAGUCUCACUUUUUUUUUUUUUUUUGACAGCUUGAGAUGAAUGUCAGUCCAGCAGAAUACCUGAAUGUGUGCUUCACUGCAAUGUUUCAUAGAGUGAUGUCAGAAGUUGCUUAGAGCUAAGUGCUUUGUCUUGAUGCAGUGAAGCAGAUAAACCUGUGUUCAGCGUUAUGCAGAACAGUAACUAACUAGGGACACAUCUUAAUUCAUUUCCCACAGCAUAGCGUCGGAGAAGAAAGAGAUAUUUAGUGACUGGAAGAUCAGUAGGCCUUGUACAGUGAGGACAAGUGCUCCAAAAAAAAAUAUAUAUAUAUAUAGAAAUAAAUUUUUAUACUUUAUUGGUAUGCAGAGGAGAUAGAAGUCUUCUGAACAAAGAGAUAGAAAACAGACAGUUAGAAGGAGUGCAAUCUUUUGAUCUUAUUGUUUAUAUGAAUAAACAAUCAAAACUGGCUAUGAACAGUUCUAUGAACUGUUUGCAGGCAAUUUAUAAUCCAAAAGAUACGUGAAAAAUUUCAGUUGCUUAUCAAUGAUGUAUUUACUUUCAUAAGGCUAGUUCCUUUUCCACCAAUGUUCUCUAUAAGUAUAAUUGUUUAUUAUUCAUUCAUAUUAAUAAUAUUUAUUUUUGAUUUUUGGUCAUAAAAUAUAUUAACGUGAAGUCUUCAGAAAUAUAAUUCAAGUUAUUUGUCACAGAAAUAUAAUUCAAGUUAUUUGUCACAGAAAUAUGUUAAAGUAUGUUAAAUGCAUAGAAGGAAUUAAUAAAAAAAAGAAGCUACUAACAUGAUUGACAGUAGGUCUUUGGCGGAUUCUUAUUCAGUGCCUGCUGCAUAUACAUAGCAUCUAAACACAUAAUCAUAGAAUCAUAGAAUGAUUUGGGUUGGAAGGGACCUUUAAGAUCAUCUAGUUCCAACCCCUUGCUAUAGGCAGGGAUACCUUCCCCUAUACCAGGUUGCUCAAAGCUUCAUCCAGUUCCAAUGAAAUCUCUGUAACAUAAAGCAGCGGAGAAGUUGGGCCCUUGAAGUCCUUUAAAAUUUGCCUGAAAUUAAUUUGAAAAUCUAAAGCAACUGCUGUUCCAGUUCAAGAACAGAUAUUUGUAUAAUAAAAGAUAAGGAAGUGUAAAUCCUAAAAAUUUAGUGGAAGGCAAAUAUUUUUACACAUUGAGGUUGUAAAAGGAGGAAACACUACGAUAUAAGCUAUUAUGUACAUUUUAACAUUUCUAUAUGUAAAGGUUACAAGGUUUCUUGUGCUUCAUGUGAUAUUAUAGUUGUAGUUAGGCUUUAGGCUUACUCAAAUCACACAGAGCCAAGCCAGAGUUCACAAUCUCCAUAUGGCUCCAACAGUUGCACUAUGUUGUGCAAAUAGUGGUGAAGCAAUGUAUCCUUUCUUUCCUCUGCAAAGAAGGAACCUUAACAGAGCAAAAGCAUCUCUUAAUUCCUGACUAUGAUCAGUAUGUGAUCCUCUGUAUCUUUUGAAACAGGAAGAGUACGCUACAUCUAUCAGCCAUGCAUGUAAUGCUAGUACAUUAUUAUUAGAAAACAAGAAAGUUUGACCAUUAGAUGAAUAUUUAUUGUUCUUCUUUUAUAUUUUGCAUGAGUGCAUUCUCUCUGGAGAUGAAGGAGUAGAUUUUCCUGUAUGUACCCCAGAAGAAAUUUCAGUUUUCAGCUGGGCUGGUCUGUUAUGAUACACUUCUGCUAAGCUGAUUUUGAAAUGUAUCUGGCAGAAAAUGAGUGCUGAUGACCAUUUACUCCUUUUCAGUCUUUAAAAUCUACACGACUGCAAAAGCUUUGCUUUUAUUGGAUGAGAUUUUCAUAGGAUGUCCUUACUCAACAAAAGAGAGUAGUCCAAAGAAACAUAAAAGAAAAAAGUAAGAAGAGUACCACAACCAUCAAUUACAUUAUCAGCAUCUUCUUUCUACAUAGACCUCAAGGAUUUUGAACUAGAUUGUCCAGCACUUCAGCAAUCUAGAAAGUUUAUUGGGGAAAAAAUGAAGUAAUUUUUAAGAUUGGAAAUGUCCCAUUUGUACCAUUUAUGUGCUUAUCUUGAUUUUUAAUUCUGAGUGGAUACAUUUAUGUUCCACAUAAAUAAAGAAUGCUGUUUGUCUUAAAGAACUGAUUGAAAUAGAACUGUGGUUUCAUGUGUUUUGUUGUUGUUGUUGUUCUUGUUCUUGUUGUUCUUGUUGUUUGUUUGUUUUGUUUUGUUUUUGUACUGUAAAUCUUGGCAGUAUUUUAAAAUUAUAAUGUUGCCUAAAAUACAAAUUUGCCCCUGAAUAACAUACUUACC